GACGAACGCUGGCGGCGUGCCUAAUACAUGCAAGUCGAACGCAGUGGGGACGGGUGAGUAACACGUGGGUAACCUCCCAUCAGAGGGGAUAACACUUGGAAACAGGUGCUAAACCGAUACUGAUGGAUGGACCCGCGGUGCAUUAGCUAGUUGGUGGGGUAACGGCUCACCAAGGCCACGAUGCAUAGCGGGCCUGAGAGGGUGAGCGGCCAGACUGGGACGGAGACACGGCCCAGACUCCUACGGGAGGCAGCAGUAGGGAAUAGUCGGCAAUGGGAGAAAGUCUGACGGAGCCACGCCGCGUGAGUGAAGAAGGUGUUCGGGUCGUAAAACUCUGUUGGUAGAGAAGCGGUAUCUAACCAGGAAGCCACGGCUAACUACGUGCCAGCAGCCGCGGUAAUUC
rnacentral:rRNA from 1 species